rnacentral:SRP_RNA from 1 species
GCUGGCAGCAGAGCAGGGAGACGCGAACGCUCUCGGCCAUAUCGGGAAUAUGUA